GCAUUAAAACACCAGUUCCUGUACGAUACCCAAAGUUAAGCAACAUAGAGUCCGGUCAGUACCUAAAUGGGUGGCCACUUGGGAAUACCAGGUGCU